rnacentral:rRNA from 1 species
UACGUAGGGUGCGAGCGUUGUCCGGAAUUAUUGGGCGUAAAGGGCUCGUAGGCGGUCUGUCGCGUCGGGAGUGAAAACUCAGGGCUUAACCCUGAGCCUGCUUCCGAUACGGGCAGACUAGAGGUAUGCAGGGGAGAACGGAAUUCCUGGUGUAGCGGUGAAGUGCGCAGAUAUCAGGAAGAACACCUAUGGCGAAGGCAGCUCUCUGGGACGGUACUGACGCUGAGACGCGAAAGCGUGGGGAGCGAACAGG